rnacentral:rRNA from 1 species
UACGUAGGGGGCAAGCGUUGUCCGGAAUUAUUGGGCGUAAAGCGCGUGUAGGCGGCCCGAUAAGUCCGCUGUGAAAGUCCAGGGCUCAACCCUGGGAUGCCGGUGGAUACUGUCGGGCUCGAGUCCGGAAGAGGAGUGUGGAAUUCCUGGUGUAGCGGUGAAAUGCGCAGAUAUCAGGAAGAACACCCGUGGCGAAGGCGGCUCUCUGGGACGGUACUGACGCUGAGACGCGAAAGCGUGGGGAGCGAACAGG